CAGAAUAACCCCCUUCAUUGAUACUGAUCACCCAACAUCACAAGACAUCCCCAUCUCUCAGCGUGGACUCCCCCUAUCUGGUCCCUCAUCCAUUGGUGGUCUGACAAAAAAGACAGGGACAUUUCAGAUUUAUAAUGUGAAGACAACGAAGCGUUUUGCAAAAGACUCCUGUGCAAACACCUGGAAAUAUGCAGAAACCCACACAGAAGGGCAAGCCAUGGUGCCCACACACAGAGCUGGCAAAGUCGGACACCGCACGGAGAAUCCUGAUCCCUUGGACACCCUGACCACACUCCUGCUGAUGGGGGAAUUUUGCCUAUGGUUUUGGAAAUCUUCUCCAACUUCUGUAGAUGCUCAGACAGCUGCUGUAUGCCAAAGCCCAGACAGGGAAGGUUUUUGAGCACAGUGCCUUCUGCGCUUCUUAAAAACAAAUGCAUGGCUGCAUUUCUCUUUCUUCACAGU